UUUUAAUCAUUUUGCCAUUUUUCACUCCUUUAUUUUAUUUUUUGGAAUUCGUAUUCGCAGUGGUCUAGUUAGGUUCGAUUUUUAUUUCUGAAAAAUUCGGUGCGGUACAGUCCGCAAGUCCGUCCACACAUAUUGGUCUAAUUACAAGAAACGGAAAUGGAUAUCACAACGAAUAGCACAUUUAUAAAUACACUUAGCAAUUUGCGAAUAAUGUAAUUUCUUAAUAAUUAUGUUAUUUUUUGACAUUGCCACAUUGGCUUCUUUGAAAUAUGUAUUGUUUUUUUUUUUUUUAUGCUUUAGGCAUUGCCUAUUAUGGGAUUGUGGCCAAAUAUCAUGUUGAACGUUAGCAAUAAGAUUAACUGGUUCGGUGUUCAGAGAUAAUGGCAUUAGU